GAGUUUGAUCGUGGCUCAGAUUGAACGCUGGCGGCAUGCCUUACACAUGCAAGUCGAACGGCAGCACGGGAGCUUGCUCCUGGUGGCGAGUGGCGAACGGGUGAGUAAUGCAUCGGAACGUAUCCUGGAGUGGGGGAUAACGUAGCGAAAGUUACGCUAAUACCGCAUAUUCUGUGAGCAGGAAAGCGGGGGACCUUCGGGCCUCGCGCUCUUGGAGCGGCCGAUGUCGGAUUAGCUAGUUGUGAGGUAAAGGCUCACCAAGGCGACGAUCCGUAGCAGGUCUGGGAGGAUGAUCUGCCACACUGGAACUGAGACACGGUCCAGACUCCUACGGGAGGCAGCAGUCGGGAAUUUUGGACAAUGGGGGCAACCCUGAUCCAGCCAUGCCGCGUGAGUGAAGAAGGCC
rnacentral:rRNA from 1 species